CUAGACUAAAUAUUUUACUUAGUUUUCAACAUUUUUUUUAACAUUUUAAACCUGCAGUUAUUUGUGUGUAUAUGUAUAAUUUUAUUUAAUUUAUUCCAUACAUAGAUUUGAGUAGCCACUACCACAAUCAAGAUACAGACUGUUCCAUCAACACAGGAGACCUCUUUGCAUUCACAUUGUCUACCAAUUCUUUCCUACCCUGUCCCUGUGCCCUGAAAAUCACUAGUCUAUUCUUCAUCCUCUAUAGUUUUUUUUUUAUUUUGAGAAUGUUAUAUAAAUGCAAUCAUAUAAUAUAUAACCUUUUAAGGUUGACCUUUUUACUAUACAUAAUGCCUUUGAGGUCUAUCCAGGUUGUUGCAUCUUUUUCUUUUUCAUUGCUGAGUAGCAUUCCACUGUAUAGAAGUACCUGAUUUCAUUCAACCGUUUACACUUUGAAGGGUAUUUGGGUUAUUUCCGGUAGUUUUCUAUUACCAACAAGCUGCUACAAACAUUUGCAAGGUUUGUGUGACUGUAAGUCCUCCCUUUGUCCUUUUGAUAUGCCCAUAUUUUUAUUUGAGCAAGCCUUUUACAUUUUGUGCAACAAGAUAUUCCAGGAUUAUCUUCAGUUUUCCUUGUCACAGUUCGGCAAUCCACCUUUUCUCCAAAGGACCCUGGCUUCUUUUUGUGGAAAACAAUAUUUAUUAAUAGGUACCAAGAUAGACAUACUACUUAAUGCAUAUUGCUAAUCUUGUGUCAUUGCUUCCAGGCCUUUUCAACAAACAGAACCAAGAAGUAUGUGUGUGUGUAUGUGUAUGUAUAUGUUUGUACACGUACAUAAAAACACACCUAUAUUUAUGUCUGUUUUUUUUUUUGUUUGUUUGUUUUGG
rnacentral:lncRNA from 10 species